rnacentral:misc_RNA from 1 species
UGUUUGAUUCCAAAGAAAAAGACCUACAAUCAAGAGUUCAUUUAAAAAACUUUUCAUAUGUGGAAUCAGGUGCCCACACACAGUUGGAAAGAGUGUAACAUGCUGGACCAAUGAUAGAUAACAAUAAGUACCACCCUUGCGCCCUCAGAGAACAAGCAAAGUUAAACAGGUUAUUAAACCAAAUCCAAAAGGAGAUCCAAUUAGAAAAGGAAAAAAAAAACAUAUGAAAAACCGAUAGAAGGUGGGGGCAUGGAAAGGUGGCUAGAUGACCCUCACUACCCAGUGCAUUUUGCCUUUCCACAUUGUAAGUCUUACCACCCUCAGAAAUAUAAAAUGGCAUUAAAACAUACAAAGCCCUCUGAAAUAUAUAUAGGCAUUGUCAAAACAUGGAAGAAAGAUAAUUGAUAAUUAAACUGCAAAUGAAGGUUAGUGAUGCAGGAUUGUCUUCUAGAGA